rnacentral:rRNA from 1 species
UACAGAGGGUGCGAGCGUUAAUCGGAAUUACUGGGCGUAAAGCGCGCGUAGGCGGCUUUGCAAGUCGAGUGUGAAAUCCCCAGGCUCAACCUGGGAACUGCAUUCGAGACUGCAUAGCUAGAGUAUGGGAGAGGGAAGUGGAAUUUCAGGUGUAGCGGUGAAAUGCGUAGAUAUCUGAAGGAACAUCAGUGGCGAAAGCGACUUCCUGGACCAAUACUGACGCUCAUGUGCGAAAGCGUGGGGAGCAAACAGGG